rnacentral:rRNA from 1 species
AACGAACGCUGGCGGCAUGCCUAACACAUGCAAGUCGAACGAUGCUUUCGGGCAUAGUGGCGCACGGGUGCGUAACGCGUGGGAAUCUGCCUUGGGGUACGGAACAACUCAGAGAAAUUUGAGCUAAUACCGUAUGAUGUCUUCGGACCAAAGAUUUAUCGCCCUGAGAUGAGCUCGCGUAGGAUUAGCUAGUUGGUGGGGUAAAGGCCUACCAAGGCGACGAUUCUUAGCUGGUCUGAGAGGAUGAUCAGCCACACUGGGACUGAGACACGGCCCAGACUCCUACGGGAGGCACCAGUGGGGAAUAUUGGACAAUGGGCGCAAGCCUGAACCAGCAAUGCCGCGUGAGUGAUGAAGGCCUUAGGGUUGUAAAGCUCUUUUACCCGGGAAGAUAAUGACUGUACCGGGAGAAUAAGCCCCGGCUAACUCCGUGCCAGCCGCCGCGGUAA